CCUACGGGUGGCAGCAGUGAGGAAUAUUGGUCAAUGGGCGGAAGCCUGAACCAGCCAAGUAGCGUGCAGGAUGACGGCCCUACGGGUUGUAAACUGCUUUUAUACGGGGAUAACACGCGUUACGUGUGAUGUUUUGCAUGUACCGUAUGAAUAAGGACCGGCUAAUUCCGUGCCAGCAGCCGCGGUAAUACGGAAGGUCCGGGCGUUAUCCGGAUUUAUUGGGUUUAAAGGGAGCGUAGGCCGCAUGUCAAGCGUGCCGUGAAAUGCCGGGGCUCAACCCUGGCACUGCAGCGCGAACUGGCUUGCUUGAGUGCGCGGAACGUAUGCGGAAUUCGUGGUGUAGCGGUGAAAUGCUUAGAUAUGACGAAGAACUCCGAUUGCGAAGGCAGCAUGCGGCAGCGCUACUGACGCUGAGGCUCGAAAGCGCGGGUAUCGAACAGGAUUAGAUACCCGUGUAGUC
rnacentral:rRNA from 1 species